AGAGUUUGAUCCUGGCUCAGAACGAACGCUGGCGGCGCGCCUAAUACAUGCAAGUCGAGCGAGAAGGUGUAGCAAUACACUUGUAAAGCGGCGAACGGGUGAGGAAUACAUGGGUAAUCUACCAUCGAGUGGGGAAUAACCAGCCGAAAGGCUGGCUAAUACCGCGUACGCUUCCGGGUUUUCGGAUUCGGAAGGAAAGCCAUACCAUGGGUAUGGCGCUCUUUGAUGAGCUCAUGUCCUAUCAGCUUGUUGGUAGGGUAACGGCCUACCAAGGCUUUGACGGGUAGCUGGUCUGAGAGGACGAUCAGCCACACUGGCACUGCGACACGGGCCAGACUCCUACGGGAGGCAGCAGUAAGGAAUAUUGCGCAAUGGGCGACAGCCUGACGCAGCGACGCCGCGUGGGGGAUGAAGGUCUUCGGAUUGUAAACCCCUUUCGGGAGGGAAGAUGGAACGGGUAACCGUUCGGACGGUACCUCCAGAAGCAGCCACGGCCAACUUCGUGCCAGCAGCCGCGGUAAUACGAAGGUGGCAAGCGUUGUUCGGAUUCACUGGGCGUACAGGGUGUGUAGGCGGUUUGGUAAGCCCUCUGUGAAAGCUUCGGGCUCAACCCGGAAAGCGCAGGGGGGACUGCCAGGCUAGAAGACGGGAGAGGAGCGCGGAAUUCCCGGUGUAGCGGUGAAAUGCGUAGAGAUCGGGAGGAAGGCCGGUGGCGAAGGCGGCGCUCUGGAACGUACCUGACGCUGAGACACGAAAGCGUGGGGAGCAAACAGGAUUAGAUACCUUGGUAGUCCACGCCUUAAACUAUGGAUACUAAGUGUCGGCGGUUUACCGCCGGUGCCGCAGCUAACGCAGUAAGUAUCCCGCCUGGGAAGUACGGCCGCAAGGUUAAAACUCAAAGGAAUUGACGGGGGCCCGCACAAGCAGCGGAGCGUGUGGUUUAAUUCGAUGAUACGCGAAGAACCUUACCUGGGUUUGACAUAGGGGUAGUAGCAAGGUGAAAGCUAAGCGACCCUUCGGGGAGCCUUUACAGGUGCUGCAUGGCUGUCGUCAGCUCGUGUCGUGAGAUGUUGGGUUAAGUCCCGCAACGAGCGCAACCCUUGUCAUUAAUUGCCAUCAUUUGGUUGGGCACUUUAAUGAGACUGCCGGUGACAAACCGGAGGAAGGUGGGGAUGACGUCAAGUCCUCAUGGCCCUUAUGGGUAGGGCUUCACACGUCAUACAAUGGUCGGUACAGAGGGUUGCCAAGCCGCGAGGUGGAGCCAAUCCCAGAAAGCCGAUCGUAGUCCGGAUCGGAGUCUGCAACUCGACUCCGUGAAGUCGGAAUCGCUAGUAAUCGCGGAUCAGCAUGCCGCGGUGAAUACGUUCCCGGGUCUUGUACACACCGCCCGUCACACCAUGGGAGCGGGUUCUACCAGAAGCAGUUAGCCUAACCGCGAGGGGGGCGAUUGCCACGGUAGGAUUCGUGACUGGGGUGAAGUCGUAACAAGGUA
rnacentral:rRNA from 1 species